ensembl:lncRNA
CCUCCACCCUGAAAUAUGAGGGAGAAUGACAAGCCAGAUGUGACAUCUCUGUCUCCCCCACCCUACCCACCACAGGUCACCCGGCCUCCACCAACCAUGUGAAAAACAGGCAGAAAUGAGAAGAAUGCAGCCUGGUGCCCCGGGAACUUGGUCCUCUCUGGGUUGGGACUCUCAAGAGUCUUCUCCAGCACCACAGUUCAAAAGCAUGAUUUCUUCAGCACUCCGCCUUCUUUAUUGUCCAACUCUCACAUCUGUACAUGACUACUGGAAAGACCAUAGCCUCAACUAUACGGACUUUUGUGGGCAAAGUGAUGUCUUUGCUUUUUAACACACCGUCUAGGUUUAUCAUAGGAGAGAAGGAUGACUGUUGUCAUUCAGAGAGUGGCAAGGACCAUGCAUGCUCUUUUUGCCAUUUUCAGACGAGCUCUUCCUAUGAGGUGGCAGAGAUAGCCUCCAGCAGCUCCUGCUUUAGGAACCAGGCCAUUAAGUGAACCUCUUUCCUAAGAAUCCUAGCAGAAGUCCUGGCUUGAGUCUCAGUGGACCACUCAGUCAUCUGCCUACCUGUAAGCCAAUCACAGAGAUGUGUGGCCAGACACCCGCUGGGGGAAGGCUCUGGGCAUGUCAGAGGAAGAAGAGGGGCUCCUUCCAGCUCUCCAGUCAGAUGGUGGAGACAGACCCUGAGCCAGGUCAUCUCAAUCCCAGGCAGUGAGGGCUGGUCAUGGCCUCUGGGAGGCCCUCAGCUGGAAGGUCCAGGUCAGUUUGGGGAAGGUCUCUACUGCCAUUUUGAUGUGUAUGGAUUUCAUUGCAAAUACCACAGUCCUUUCAACUGCAUGUUGAAGUGUGUUGCAUAUAGCAUAAGAAUACAGCUCGAUGAAUUUUCUCAAACUGAACACAGCCACGGAACCAGCCCCCAGAUUAAGAAAUAAAAGCUACCCUGUACCCACUUCCAGUUACUCCGUCUCUUUAGGGUGACUGCUACCUUGACUUCUAACGACAUGGCUUAGUGCUGUCUCUUUUUGUGUUUU